AGCUUCAUCACCAAACCGCUCGACGGCGGCACGCUCACCGCAAGGUGGACGUGUAGCUGGCGAGGGGGAUGGCAACGGAGCUGCCAAGAACCGAAAAGUAAAGGUCCGCUGGAUCUCUCUCUCUCCAUCACAGUAAAGAAAGGAAGAAGAAGGAACCACAGCCGACCGCUCGACGGCGGCGCACCCACAGCAAGGCGGAUGCGCAGCCGGCGAGGGGAAGGUCAUGGCUCCGAGGGAGAGAUCAGGAAGGCAGCA
rnacentral:lncRNA from 1 species